rnacentral:rRNA from 1 species
CCCUGGGGAUUUGCGCAUGGGCGAAGCCUGACCCACGCAACGCCGCGUGGAUGAUGAAGGCCUUCGGAUUGUAAACUCCUGUCGGGUGGGACGAAUGGGCCGGGGGUGAACACCCCGGGGGAUUGACGGUACCGGGAGAAGAAGGGGGGAAUUCUCCGGGGGGGGGGCGGGGAAUCAA